rnacentral:rRNA from 1 species
GAUUUCUGGUACGGCGCACUUGGCCCGCCUCGGUUACGGGGUCGUGUGCCGGUGUGCGCCUGCCAUCCCUUGUGGCCAACUGUCUUACCCUUCACCGGGCGAGACAGCGAACCACAUCAUUUACUUUGAAAAAAUUAGAGUGUUUAAAGCAGGCUCGCGCUAUGAAUACAUUAGCAUGGAAUAAUAAUUUAGGACUUUGGUCUUAUUUUAUUGGUUUCUAGGACUAAAGUAAUGAUUGAUAGGGAUAGUUGGGGGUGCUAGUAUUCAGCGGCCAGAGGUGAAAUUCUUGGAUUCGCUGAAGACUAACUUAUGCGAAAGCAUU